CCUACGGGAGGCAGCAGUGGGGAAUAUUGGGCAAUGGAGGAAACUCUGACCCAGCGACGCCGCGUGCGGGAUGAAGGCCUUCGGGUUGUAAACCGCUUUCAGUAGGGAAGAAGCGAAAGUGACGGUACCUACAAAAGAAGCACCGGCUAACUAUGUGCCAGCAGCCGCGGUAAUACAUAGGGUGCAAGCGUUGUCCGGAAUUAUUGGGCGUAAAGAGCUCGUAGGUCGUUUGUUACGUCGGAUGUGAAAACCUGAGGCUCAACCUCAGGCCUGCAUUCGAUACGGGCAAACUAGAGUUUGGUAGGGGAGACUGGAAUUCCUGGUGUAGCGGUGGAAUGCGCAGAUAUCAGGAGGAACACCAAUGGCGAAGGCAGGUCUCUGGGCCAAUACUGACACUGAGGAGCGAAAGUCUGGGGAGCGAACAGGAUUAGAUACCCUGGUAGUCCAGACCGUAAACGGUGGGCACUAGUUGUGGGAACCUUCCACGGUUUCUGCGACGCNGCUACGCAUAGUGCCCGCCGUCGGGAGGUACGACGUCGCGAGAAGUUAAACGUACAAGUAGAAGUUAAGUACGGUCGUUGAGUAGUUGCCGAACGGCGACCGACGAGGGAGGUUAGG
rnacentral:rRNA from 1 species